rnacentral:rRNA from 1 species
GACGUAGGGCGCGAGCGUUGUCCGGAUUUAUUGGGCGUAAAGAGCUCGUAGGCGGCUUGUCGCGUCGACUGUGAAAACCCGCGGCUCAACCGUGUGGCGGGCAGUUGAUACGGGCAGGCUAGAGUUCGGUAGGGGAGACUGGAAUUCCUGGUGUAGCGGUGGAAUGCGCAGAUAUCAGGAGGAACACCGGUGGCGAAGGCGGGUCUCUGGGCAGUAACUGACGCUGAGGAGCGAAAGCGUGGGGAGCGAACAGG